AUUGAACGCUGGCGGCAGGCCUAACACAUGCAAGUCGAGCGUGAAAACACUUCGGUGUGAGUAGAGCGGCGGACGGGUGAGUAAUGCUUGGGAAUCUGCCCAGUAGUGGGGGAUAACGUGUGGAAACGCACGCUAAUACCGCAUACUUCCUACGGGAGAAAGCAGGGGAUCUUCGGACCUUGCGCUAUUGGAUGAGCCCAAGUCGGAUUAGCUAGUUGGUGGGGUAAUGGCCUACCAAGGCGACGAUCCGUAGCUGGUCUGAGAGGAUGAUCAGCCACACUGGGACUGAGACACGGCCCAGACUCCUACGGGAGGCAGCAGUGGGGAAUUUUGCACAAUGGGCGAAAGCCUGAUGCAGCCAUGCCGCGUGUGUGAAGAAGGCUUUAGGGUUGUAAAGCACUUUCAGUAGGGAGGAAAAGCUUAAGGUUAAUAACCUUGAGCCCUGACGUUACCUACAGAAGAAGCCCCGGCAAACUCCGUGCCAGCAGCCGCGGUAAUACGGAGGGUGCGAGCGUUAAUCGGAAUUACUGGGCGUAAAGCGCGCGUAGGUGGUUUGAUAAGCUAGCUGUGAAAGCCCCGGGCUCAACCUGGGAAUUGCAGUUAGAACUGUCUGACUAGAGUGCAGUAGAGGGUGGCGGAAUUUCAUGUGUAGCGGUGAAAUGCGUAGAUAUAGUGAAGGAACAUCCAGUGGCGAAGGCGGCCAUCUGGACUGUAUACUGA
rnacentral:rRNA from 1 species